UACGUAGGGACCAAGCGUUGUUCGGAAUUACUGGGCGUAAAGGGUUCGUAGGUGGCCACUUAAGUCAGACGUGAAAUCCCUCAGCUUAACUGGGGAACUGCGUCUGAUACUGAGUGGCUUGAGUGCAGGAGAGGAAUGCGGAAUUCCAGGUGUAGCGGUGAAAUGCGUAGAUAUCAGGAGGAACACCGGUGGCGAAGGCGGGUCUCUGGGCCGAUACUGACGCUGAGACGCGAAAGCGUGGGGAGCAAACAGG
rnacentral:rRNA from 1 species